rnacentral:rRNA from 1 species
UCGGAACGUGCCCAGUAGUGGGGGAUAGCCCGGCGAAAGCCGGAUUAAUACCGCAUGAGACCUGAGGGUGAAAGGGGGGGAUCGCAAGACCUCUCGCUAUUGGAGCGGCCGAUAUCAGAUUAGCUAGUUGGUGGGGUAAAGGCCUACCAAGGCAACGAUCUGUAGUUGGUCUGAGAGGACGACCAGCCACACUGGGACUGAGACACGGCCCAGACUCCUACGGGAGGCAGCAGUGGGGAAUUUUGGACAAUGGGCGCAAGCCUGAUCCAGCAAUGCCGCGUGCAGGAAGAAGGCCUUCGGGUUGUAAACUGCUUUUGUCAGGGAAGAAAUCUUCUGGGUUAAUACCUCGGGAGGAUGACGGUACCUGAAGAAUAAGCACCGGCUAACUACGUGCCAGCAGCCGCGGUAAUACGUAGGGUGCGAGCGUUAAUCGGAAUUACUGGGCGUAAAGCGUGCGCAGGCGGCUUUGCAAGACAGAGGUGAAAUCCCCGGGCUCAACCUGGGAACUGCCUUUGUGACUGC